rnacentral:rRNA from 1 species
GAUGAACGCUGGCGGCGUGCCUAAUACAUGCAAGUCGAGCGAACAGACGAGGAGCUUGCUCCUCUGACGUUAGCGGCGGACGGGUGAGUAACACGUGGAUAACCUACCUAUAAGACUGGGAUAACUUCGGGAAACCGGCGCUAAUACCGGAUAAUAUAUUGAACCGCAUGGUUCAAUAGUGAAAGACGGUUUUGCUGUCACUUAUAGAUGGAUCCGCGCCGCAUUAGCUAGUUGGUAAGGUAACGGCUUACCAAGGCGACGAUGCGUAGCCGACCUGAGAGGGUGAUCGGCCACACUGGAACUGAGACAAGGUCCAGACUCCUACGGGAGGCAGCAGUAGGGAAUCUUCCGCAAUGGGCGAAAGCCUGACGGAGCAACGCCGAGUGAGUGAUGAAGGUCUUCGGAUCGUAAAACUCUGUUAUUAGGGAAGAACAAAUGUGUAAGUAACUAUGCACGUCUUGACGGUACCUAAUCAGAAAGCCACGGCUAACUACGUG